rnacentral:lncRNA from 1 species
CUGUAUCUCGGCUAGAGCCUUGGGCAGUGUGAGCUGGCAGGGCAGAUCGCUGAAGGCGGCUAGAGAUAGAAAACCACCCAGCUCUGCAUCCUGAGACAAAGAAGCCUUUCCCUGGGCUCAUAUGAUAGAGAUGAAAUUUAGAAGAAAAUAUGUUUUCAUAGAAUAAAUAAUCCAGUGGCAAACCAGUCCAAUCCAAUUCCAAGAUCGCUCAUUGAGACAACACUUACCAUAGGCCUCCCCUCUGCAGCCAGUGCUCCCGAUUGGGAAUGACUGGAGCCUCAGUUCACAACACCCCACGGGGGAAGGGGGUGCUGGUUCCCUUUAUAUAAACCCAACGAAGAAAGACCUGGCUUUGGGGAGCAGAAGUGACUGCUGUUGCACAUCUCUUUGCUGAAGGAUGGGCCCCCUUUUUUUUUUUUUGGAGACCGAGUCUCGCUCUGUCGCCCAGGCUGGAGUGCAGUGUGCGAUCUCGGCUCACUGCAGUCUCCACCUCCCAGGUUCAAGCAAUUCUCCUGCCUCAGCCUCCCGAGUAGCUGGGAUUACAGGCACCCACCACCACGCCUGGUUAAUUUUUGCAUUUUUAGUAGAGAUGGGGUUUCAUCGUGUUUGCCAGGAUGGUCUCGAUCUCCUUACCUCAGGUGAUCCACCUGCCUUGGCCUCCCAAAGUGCUGGGAUUACAGGUGUGAGCCACCGUGCCUGGCCCGGAUGGGUCCCUUUCUAAGUGAGCCUACCCUCACAGCUUUGUCCCAGUUAUCUGAGACGCAUUCCAGACCUGGUGCUGUCUGGCUGUGCAGGGGGCACAGGCGGCAGGUCUCUUACCUCCCUGAGGCAGGUGUAGAUGGGGCACACGAGCACACGGAAGGGCUCGCCUGUGCUGCUGCGCAUGGUGCCGAAGACCUCGCACAGGAAGGUGAUGAAGCCCAGCCAGCGCUCCACGUCCUGCUGCUGCAGCUCCUCGCGCACCGUGAAGUCCUUCUGUGGAGGCAUGAGAGACCGCGUCAGCCUCCCGGGGCUGGGGAGGGGCCUGGGUGCCACCCUGCUGUGCAGAGCAUCUGUUGUCUUGGGGCUGCUCCUGGGCAGCAGGCAAACCCCAUGUUUUAAAUGAGGAUGGGGGUGCGUGAUUGCACUCUCUGUGGCUGGGACCACCCUGACCUGGGGCCAUAACACCUCUUCUUCAGGUGUCCCCAGGUUGGGGACACAGCUUCCUUGCCUCUAGGCAUUGCCCAGACCUGCUGGUCAUCCUCCUUCACUGACAGCAAUGCUGAUGUGGGAGGAUGAGGUAGAACGGGAGGUGACACCCUCCCCAGACUCAGCACUUUUCCACUUAACUCCCUGUGGCUAAACCGUCUCCCUUUGCUAACCCCCAAGUCAUGCCCUCUGCGUGGUGGACUGGGGGUAACCAGAACACUGCCCACCCACACAUCAUCAGCAGUGGCAACAGAGGACCAUGUGGGCUAGCGCCCCAGCACUGGGCUACACAGCUACAGCCCGUCCCUCGAGGGGCCUAGGCAUUCAUUCGUUCAUUCAUUCAUUCAUCCUCCUUAAAAAUAUUAUUGCCCCAUUGUGUGACAGGCUCUGCACUAGGAGCUAAGAUAAGACAUAUUCAUUCAUCACUGUGAUACAAGAGAAGAAAGUAUAAAAAACCAAGGAGCUGGGUUCCAUGGGAUGGUCGCUAGGGAAGGUUUUGGGGAUGGGGCCAUGAAAUACCACAGUCAUACCAGUGCUCAACAGAAAGGUUAAUAUAGCUAAGGUGUGGAGACCACACAGGAGGCCACUGCAAGCAUCCAGGCAGGAUGAAAUUAAAACCUCAGCGCUCUGAGAGCUGAAAGAUAAGAAUCUGGGGUAGCUUAAAUAAUAUUCAGAAAGAUAUUUCCCCUACCUCUUGUCUUUGGUUUUGGCCAUAUGUCUUGCUUUGGCCAAUAGAAUGAGGCAGGAGUGAUGGUGUGCCAAUUCUGAUGUGAGGCGUUAAAUAUUUAUGUUGACUUUCAUGUUUCUUCUGUCAUCCUAAGAAGACUCUCUCUGGGCUAGCCUGAUGGUCCCAGGGAGAAGGUGGGCAACAUAUGCGACAGGGCCUCACCUAAGUCUAGCCUAGGUCAGGUGACCCCCAACCAACCUGCACACACACCAUCUACAUGCACGCUUACUGCUGCGUGCCACUGAGAUUUUUAUGGUUGUUUGUUCAGCCUCAAUAGCUGACCAAUACAGGAGUGACACAAGAGACAUUGUGAAGGUCAAUAGUACUUGCUAAGUGGUGGGUUGUAAGGGUUGAUGGAAAGGGGAGACUCCAAGAUGACGCCAAGAUUCUUGGUCUGGGUGACUGUGUCACCACCAAAAUAGAACAUGGGAAGACAGGUUGUAGAAUGUGACUCAGAGCAUUCCCACAGCCCAGUCCCCCACACCACUGCUGACUUCAGCCAAGCAUCCUUGGCACCAGAAUCUCAGCAUCUCCAGAGAUGGAAGGCCCUCAGAGAUGACUUGGUUAACAUCUGUCCCUUGUGAGUGAUGAAGGUGCAAUCUAGAGGGUGGGCCUUGGUCUCCUCAGGUGGCAGGUCAGGGGCUGGCUGAGAAGCCCUGCAGUGCCAGCUUUGGAUGAGCCUAGGCCACAGCUUAUAAUGACCUGAGUUUCAUCAGUUACAAAAAAGUAUAUACUUGUGUGUGUAUCUAUAACUAUUUUGAUAUCUAUAUUUAUAUGUAAAACAGUAACAGCAGCAGCUGCUAUUUGUGAGCCAGACACUGAGCCAAGGAUAUUAAUUGUGGUAUUUUACAUAGUUAUCACAAUGGUCCUAUAAGGCAGGUCCUAUUACUGCCCCAUUUUAUAGAUGGAGAAUCUGAGGAUAGAGAAGUUGUGUAACUUGCCCAUGACUAUGAGCCAGUGGCAGGGCUGGGAUUCAAACUGACGUCAGCCUGCUCUGGAGACCAAACAUUUUUUCUCCUUAUGGUGUUUUUUAUUUUUCAAAAAAUGUUUUUGUGUAUAUUUAAGGUAUACAACAUGAUGCAAUGGGAUACAUAUAGGCAGUAAAAAGGUUACUAUAGUGAAGCAAACAACAUAUCCAUCAUCUCACAGUUACCCAUUUUUGUUUUGUUUGUUUUUGUGGCAAGAGCAGCUCUUAUGGUGUUUUUAAAUUGGAAAGUAGUGCAUCAGAGCCCACGCUUAGUCACUCUCCAAGUCUGUACUUUCCACGAAGCCAUUUGUCCACACGGUCCCUUGUAAGUGCAGCCAUGCCUGCAGACCUCAUGGGCCUCAUAUUGACCCCUCAGGCCUCCUGCCUCCCCACUCCUUUCUCACUGAAUUGUCCACCUGGGUAUGAUUGUAGAGUUCUGCUGUUUAUCUUUCACCCAGGGUGAAAAGGGACCACAAGAGACUCCAGGGACCCCGCAAGUAGUGCGUGCCCAGCAUCUUUGACAGCUUUGUCUCUUCUCCCUAGUCCAGAGCCUGGAGCAGGCAGUGUUCACAGGGGGUCCUAGCUGUUCAGGGUCUUUGUGAAUGAAUGAAUUACAUUGCCUGCCACCCCAGGGCCUGCCAAGGACCCUGCACUACUGGGCUUGAAGUCACACAUCUUUUGGUGGUUUCAUUCUCAUGAACCUUUGUUUAUCCCACAAUAUUCUUAUGUGAUCUGAGCAAGAGUGGGCAUUACCAUUCUCAUUUUAAAAUGGGGACAACUAAGGCACAAAGAUAUUAAAAGACAUGACUAAGGCCACACAGUACUAGAACUUGAAUGAAAAAUUAAGCCCCUUCUCUGCUCUGGGUUAAACGCUCUUGCCCUGGUUGUACAUUGGAGUCACCUGGAGGAACUCUGAGGCUGCUGAUGUUGGGACCCCACCCCGGAAAGUCUUGUGUAACUGGUCAGGGUGGGGCUCAGACACUGGUAAUUUUUGGCAGCUCCCCAGCUGAUUCUAACGUGCAACCAUGGCUCUGAACCACAACUCUAGGCCUUUAUCAAGUGCUAACUCGGGUGUUAAAAUGGUGCCCCUCUAUCAACCCCCAGCUUGUCAUUUCCUUAUAUUCCCUAAAAAUACCCAUGAAGGCACACAUCAAAGAACAAAGUCCCACAGCAACACUGAGAAGGAAGAUAACAGUUCCCCAGCAGACUCCUCCCAGACUCAGGAGGUGACAUCAUUAACUAAAGUGCUGUCACCAACAAAUUCUGGUUGCCCAGGGGACCCAGAAGACCAAAGACAGGGGGUAGCUUGAGGCUUCAGCCCCUUCCUCUAUCUGUCUCUGGCUGGUAGACAGUAUCUGUCAGUACUAGCAAAGCCCUGUGCCUGUGUAUUAAGGCAGCUCCCAUCUGCACCACCCUUAUUCCAGGCCUUGGAGAUUCGGGGCAGUGCAGGGGCAGGAGGAGACUGGGUGAAAUGCUGUGUCCUUUAAGGGAUGGUGCUCUCAGGCAAAGCCCUCUGGGGCAGGAAAAAACUUGGAGGCAGUGUGUACAAGGAACUGAAGUUUUAAAAAAUAGAUUGCAUCUGAUCAAAGAACUAGCUCUUGACUCAGUUUCUUCCUGAUCAUCCAUGGCAUCAAGAGAGCAUUCUGUUUUGGGCUAGCAAAGGUUACUAGGAGAUUGAAUGCCUGCUAAAUAUUGGAAAUUGGAUUUGAGAUGAGCUCAUGAAGCCACCCUCCAGCUUUAGGUCUGAGAGGGAGACUCUGCCUAAGCAGACACCAAGCUAGUCCAAGGCUGAUGCGCACAGCAAACACAAAAGACCAGACAGGGGUGAUCUCAUUCAGGAUUGAGGGAGGCGCAGAGCAAUAUGGCAUCUACACAAAAAUCCUGCCUGGCAGAAUAAAGGAGCAGUGUCGUGAAAACUUAAUGGAAAUGUGUAACUCUGAACAUAUUAAUGACAAUCAACCAGAUAUAAAUAAAAUGAAAAACUCAAGUGCAAAACAUGUGGGCUUGUAUGUAAGGAGAAUGACAAUAUAGAUUCUAUGAUGUGUGAAUAGGCAUUCGAAGGAAGGGAUUGUGAUUAGCUAAGCAACUCUCAGGCUGAAAUGAAGUGUGAGACAGGAACUGGGAUUAGGAGAGAGCCAAUGGAAACUAGAAAUCCAACAGCAAAAUCAAAAUGAAUUGGAGGCAGUAAAGGAUAGAAUGGAUAAUGCAGAAAAAGUAAUGCAGAAGAUAAACUUGGAAACCACCUAGAGAGCAGAAUAGAUAAAUAGACCAGAAAGCUGAAUACAAAGAUAAAUAGACUAGAAACAAAAAGAAAAACGAUAGAGAAGAUAGAGAGUGGACAUCUAGUCUGUGAAUUAGAGAAGUUUUCAAAAAGCAUACCAGAAUACACAGAACAAAG